CGGCAGCACGGGAGCUUGCUCCUGGUGGCGAGUGGCGAACGGGUGAGUAAUGUAUCGGAACGUACCCAGUCGUGGGGGAUAACUCUCCGAAAGGAGAGCUAAUACCGCAUACGUCCUGAGGGGGAAAGCGGGGGACCUGCAAAGGCCUCGCGCGAUUGGAGCGGCCGAUAUCGGAUUAGCUAGUUGGCGGGGUAAAGGCCCACCAAGGCGACGAUCCGUAGCGGGUCUGAGAGGACGACCCGCCACACUGGAACUGAGACACGGUCCAGACUCCUACGGGAGGCAGCAGUGGGGAAUUUUGGACAAUGGGGGCAACCCUGAUCCAGCCAUUCCGCGUGAGUGAAGAAGGCCUUCGGGUUGUAAAGCUCUUUCAGCAGGAGCGAAACGGUCGUUUUUAAUACAGACGGCUAAUGACGGUACCUGCAGAAGAAGCACCGGCUAACUACGUGCCAGCAGCCGCGGUAAUACGUAGGGUGCGAGCGUUAAUCGGAAUUACUGGGCGUAAAGCGUGCGCAGGCGGCGGCAUAAGACAGAUGUGAAAUCCCCGGGCUCAACCUGGGAACUGCGUUUGUGACUGUGUUGCUAGAGUGUAGCAGAGGGGGGUGGAAUUCCACGUGUAGCAGUGAAAUGCGUAGAUAUGUGGAGGAACACCGAUGGCGAAGGCAGCCCCCUGGGUUAACACUGACGCUCAUGCACGAAAGCGUGGGGAGCAAACAGGAUUAGAUACC
rnacentral:rRNA from 1 species